GUUACAGAAGAGAGCUGAAUCAAGUUCCAGACGAGAAAUGGAAUGUGUAGGAAAAGGAGGUCUGCUAGCAAACAAGCAUUCUUCCAACCUAAUGGUAUGAGAUCUGUUUCCAUGCUCACUUUUUUCUUUUUAAUUUAGAUUAUCUUAUUCAUAUUUGAGAUCACACAACAUUUUUCUCUUCAGUCUUUGCACAGCAUAAUGGCUCUGCUUUUGAGAUACUACAGCAUAUCUUAGCAUUGCUGAAUUGGUUUCCAAAGAAGAAAUUCCUCAAGGAAAGACUCUCAAACAUUUUAUGAAACUAGUGAUGAAGCUGGCUUCUCUCAGGGAAGACUUAACUAUGUUUACUAGCCUGCCAAAAUGCAAAAACCUACAAACAAUUGCUUGCCUACAAAAAUAUUUAAUUUUAAGGCAUUGAGAGAAAAUAAUUAAUCUAUGCUAAUCCUUCUCAAAGUAACAUGAAAACCUAUCUUGAAUUCCAACUUCACAGACAAAAAAUUGUUCAUAUUUUGUCCAGUCUGCUCCACAAUAAGAAUUGUAAAUAGAUCAAUCAAAUUGCAGAGUUGAUGGCAACCAAAAGCAAUAUAGAAGUGACGUAGAAAUGAUGCCACUGUAUCAUGUUUGUUUAUAUUACUAUGUACAUAUCAAUCAUAAUAAUUUUGUUUUGCCUUCUGGUUGCAACAGAGAUUCCCUUCACCUGAGGAAAAAUACGCUGCUGAAGGUCUUAUAUCCCAUCGUCAGGGCACAUUAACUCAAAAAAUUAAUGCUGAUGAAGAAAGUAUGAAAGGAAACACAAACAUCCAGGAAAGGAAAAUUGGAACAUGUUCAUUCUGCAUUCAGAGAAAACCAACUGAUUUAUCAGAUACCAACUUGAGCAGUGAUUCAGAAGACAUCGCAGCCUAUGAUUCUUAUGAUUCACAACGUGAGGAACUUGUGAAUGGUGAGACUGAAAGUUACAAAACAUUCAAUACAAGAUUACGUGGAGAGAUAAAAGGACUUAGAUGCAGAUGUCCUAGAGGAAGCAGAGAUCAAUUUAAACUCAGGAAUUACAAAGAGCCUGUUCAGUCUUGUGCUCUACAUAGAAAUAAACAUUCUGGUUCAACCUCUUAUUCACAGAAGAGAAUCGCCAUUCAAAAGGCUCAAACAAAUAAGCAGCCACGUGAACUUGUAAACAGACUUUCUGAAAGGCAAAACUUUGAGGCUGCCAAAACCUGCUAUUCAAGCACCCAUGAUAAUUUUAUCCUUUCACAUCAAUACUUACCCAGCAAGAAGUGUGCCCGAAGCAAAUCUGCCAUCAGCAUCAGACACAGAAAUGCCAACGAUUCCAAUGCAAAUAUUUUAAGUUCUACUCUGGAUCAUGCCCUACACACAGCGAACAUUUUGAAGAAAGCUACAGAACGAAUGGUACGAGCAGUUUCAGAAGAUCUAGCUAAAGUUAAAAGGAAACAGCUUUAAUUACCCAGUUUCAAAGGUUAUAUUGUUUUGUUGGUUGAUACUGAAGUGUCAUUAUUUCUGAAAAUAUGAAAUGAGAAAAAAAUAUUAGAAAGUCAGCUAGCUGACUUUGCCAGUUCUUCUGUAACUAUCAAUACUAAUCUCAACCAGAGCAUACUGGUAUUCCACAUGUUUACGCUCAGUCUCAGAACUAGAAAGCAAGUUACUAGUUCCACUGAAGGUCUUUAGUAUGUUCUCUAACCCCUGUUAGUGUGUACAACUACCUUCUCUAAGUAUUCACUGAAGAUGCCUUAAUAAAAAUCAGUUUAAACAAGCA
rnacentral:lncRNA from 1 species